CCCGGAAUGGAGAGAUUUGAUUGAUUGCAACCAUUAAAAAAAAUGCUAAAGCAGUUCCC
rfam:Bacteroidales bacterium TBC1 DNA, scaffold: TBC1_scaffold_1.